rnacentral:lncRNA from 1 species
GCCCCUGUCGCCCCCCACUCUUGCCGCUCCGGGGCGACUGCUUUGGCGGGCAGCCUGGGCUCAGAGCAGCGGCCGAGAGGUCAGCGUGGCGGCAGCUAAGCGCGCGGCGCCAGUUUGCGCCCGGAAGAGCCCGCGCUGGGGGCUGAGCCCGCGGCCAUGUCCCCGCCCGCGUCCUCGGUGGGAGGAGGGGGCCGCCGGGCGCGGGGAUGAGGGCGAGGGAGCGGACCAAACUUUGGGAGAAGGCGGCGAGUUGGGCUGGACCCGCCUCCCGCGCAGCGCGGAAAUGACCGCAGCUCAGAGGAGGCUGGGGUUGGAUACCGGGGUCUCUGGAGCCUCGCGUGCUCCCGGGAAAAUGAGUCUAGUGCUCUGCCUCCUUGUUGGAGGACAAGAAAUCAAUUAGAUGAGAUUCCUGCCAGUCCUCCUCCAAGUCUACUAAAGGUCAGAGAAGCCCUGAGCAUUUUCGGUGAAUCCAUGCGUGCAGUCUGCGCGCCUUUCUUUCCCCAAGUGCAGGGAAUCGGGCCUCAAAGUUGGACGCACACACCCCAGAGGCCCGACCUCGAGGGUCCGGGGCUUCGAAUCUCCGACUGUCUCGGGGCGGGAUGCGGUUGCCCAGCCUCUCCUGGAGCAGGUGGCCGUGUCUUGCUGCUGCACUCGCUCCCCCACUUGGAAUUUAUAGCCAAGCGGCGACGCUCACGUGCUCCUCGCCGCGUGGUCGCAGACCUUUCCCGGGAGCGGAUCUCCGUGGGGGGGGCGGGGGCUCUCUCCAGCUUCUAAGGCUGCCUGGGAUCCUUCCUGCUCCUGCCCAGUAUUCCCUGGCUGUUCCGCCCUCCUGCCGCGAGGAUGCUGGGAGCCCCGGGUGACCAGGAGCGCUGGGGUCGGGUGUGGACUUCGCGGAGCGGCCCCUCACCCCUGCGCAGUGUCCCGCAAAGUGCGAGCGGCCACAUAUUGGGCGGUGGCUCCAGAAAUGGAGUUGGUCUGGGGGCUCGGGUUCUUGUUUGUGCUUCAGCUGUUUUUUAUGGCUGGGUUCCACCCGACGCUGAUCGGUUGAGCACCGGACUAUGCUUCCUUUGUCUAGGUUCUGAGGCGGCUGGCACCGGGGUCUGGUACACGUCCCGGCUACUGCCGGGAGAUGCAAAGGGAGCCAGAGGUGAAUUUGCCCUCUCUGGACGCUACCCGGCCCUCAGGAAAAUCCUGCAUAACCAGAAGAGGAAAGGAAAACUUUGUCAAAUAAAAGUGAUAGUGUUGUGGAGAAGGAGGGAGAAGACAGGCCAAAGUCUAGCAUCUGCCAUUGUCACUGCAGACCGAGGCUGCAGAGGAAAGAGGAUUUCACAUUGUCUGUGGGACCGUGCUUCAAAAAGCUCUCUACAAAUCAGACUUGGUGCAGUAAAUGUUUCAUGA